GCCGACGUAGCUCAAUAGGCAGAGCAACGCAUUCGUAAUGCGUAGGUUAGCGGUUCGAUUCCGCUCGUCGGCUCCA
rnacentral:tRNA from 1 species